UACGUAGGGGGCAAGCGUUGUCCGGAAUUAUUGGGCGUAAAGAGCGUGGAGGCGGCCAGGUAGGUCGGUUGUGAAAACUGGAGGCUCAACCUCCAGACGUCGACCGAAACCAUCUGGCUAGAGUCCGGAAGAGGAGAAUGGAAUUCCUGGUGUAGCGGUGAAAUGCGCAGAUAUCAGGAAGAACACCCGUGGCUAAGGCGGUUCUCUAGUACGGUACUGACGCUGAGACGCAAAAGCGUGGGGAGCGAACAGG
rnacentral:rRNA from 1 species